UACGUAGGGGGCGAGCGUUGUCCGGAAUCAUUGGGCGUAAAGAGCGUGUAGGCGGCUUGGCAAGUCUGACGUGAAAGCCCGCGGCUCAACCGCGGAUUGUCGUUGGAAACUGCCUCGCUAGAGUCCGGAAGAGGAGAGCGGAAUUCCUGGUGUAGCGGUGGAAUGCGCAGAUAUCAGGAAGAACACCCGUGGCGAAGGCAGAUCUCUGGGCCGUAACUGACGCUGAGGAGCGAAAGCAUGGGGAGCGAACAGG
rnacentral:rRNA from 1 species